UCGAUUUCAGACCCCAAAACAAGUAAGGACCCCUCACCCUAUUUCCUAUCACGGUAUUAAAGCUAAAUAAAUAAUUAAACUGUACUGUGUGACUUUAUAGAUGCAUAAUUGAUUUAGGUUACCAAUGGAGCCUGAGUCUGAUACAUUGUUGGUCAGUUGUUGUUUGGUCUAAUUUUCAGUAUUAAAUGCAGUAUGAUGUUUGAUGUAAUUAUGUUAUGGUCUCGUAUGCAUGAAUCAUGGUUUCUUUUAUUAUGGUUUGUAUUAUGGCGAACCCAAUACUGUGUUGUCUUGUUUGGUAUCAAUUACUAGUUUACAUGUUGUGUAUGAUUGGAUGAUUGAGAUUAAGGAAAAAGGCAAAAAGGUUAUGUGAAUUGAUAAGUGGAUAAUGUAGACAGCCUAACUAGAUAUCCUGAGAGAUGGUGGACGGGCCGGGUCCGUAGGGAACCCUACCGGGAACGU
rnacentral:lncRNA from 1 species